GGGUUUUGGUGGUGGAGGUGGACAGGCUGCGCGCCUUGGGGCUGGUCAGGAGGAGCUUGCUCACGGCGGAGAUCUUGGACUGGCUGGCCUUGGGGGAGGCCCCAGAGCUGGGGGGCGAGGUCCCAGCGCGGCCCAGGCUCCCUCCCAGCGGGGCAUGGUGCUGUCCUUGCCUGCGUGCAGCCGGGAGCUCACGGAGGACAGGCUCUCGGCCCGCUCCAGGGAGAGGCAUUCGUAGUGGCUGACCGUAGCCCUGCCCAGGGAGUUGGUUCUGCUGGCCAGCUGCUCCAGCUUGGCACUGAAGAGCUUGCUGCUGCUGCUGGCGUCCUUCGUCUUGCCGCCAGGCUCAUCUGGGAGGCCCGCCAGGAAGGCGGCUGGUUGGUUCAGGGGGCUGCUGGUGCCGCUGCUGCUGGCACUGUGCUGAGGGCUGGCCCGGUUCUUCUGGUCCAGGCUGGACUUUCGGACAGGGGGCAACGGGGGAGUCCCUUUGGGCCGAGCCAGGACACAGUGCUUGGGGGAAGCCACCUUCCUCUCAAGGGUAGCCUUGGAGGGCUGGGCGCCCGAGGCUGCACCCACCCCGUUGGUCUCGGCAGCGCAGUAGUAGAAGAGGCUGUCCAGCUCCUCCUGCCGGCUGGCCUUCUGAAACGCCCUGGGAAGGCUGCUGGACUUGACGCUUUUGUUGGGAUGCAUGGGGCUCUGGGUGGCCAAACCAGGCAGGGCCAUCUCACACCCGUCCGCGACCCUCCUGAAGUUGUCAGUGACGGCGGAGGCCGACACCUCCCCGCUGCUGCUGCUGAGCCUGUCGCCCGGGCUGGGCUUUCUGUCCUGCUCCUGCUCAGCUCUGGUCUCCGCGUUCGAGGCGCCCGUGGCAGUCUCACACCUAAUCCCUUCUUCACUGGGAUGAGCAUUCUCUUUUUUUACUUCCUCUUCUCUUUUCAGCCAGGGGUCCUCAAAUGUCAUCUCUUUCUUGCUACUGUUUUCCUUACUCUCCUGGGACUGGGCUAA
rnacentral:lncRNA from 1 species